UGGGGAAUCUUAGACAAUGGGGGAAACCCUGAUCUAGCCAUGCCGCGUGAGCGAUGAAGGCCUUAGGGUUGUAAAGCUCUUUCAGUGGGGAAGAUAAUGACGGUACCCACAGAAGAAGCCCCGGCUAACUCCGUGCCAGCAGCCGCGGUAAUACGGAGGGGGCUAGCGUUGUUCGGAAUUACUGGGCGUAAAGCGCACGUAGGCGGAUUGGAAAGUUGGGGGUGAAAUCCCGGGGCUCAACCCCGGAACUGCCUUCAAAACUCCCAGUCUUGAGGUCGAGAGAGGUGAGUGGAAUUCCGAGUGUAGAGGUGAAAUUCGUAGAUAUUCGGAGGAACACCAGUGGCGAAGGCGGCUCACUGGCUCGAUACUGACGCUGAGGUGCGAAAGCGUGGGGAGCAAACA
rnacentral:rRNA from 1 species